GUGCUUGCUUCUGUGGUACAUCUACUAAAACUGAAACAAUACAGAGAAGAUUAGCAUGGCCCCUGCACAAGGUAUUCAUGAAGCACUCCAUACUUUG
rnacentral:snRNA from 1 species